rnacentral:lncRNA from 13 species
AGUAUGGUGAGAUAUCAUGCAUGUGAUUAUGUUAGGUCACAAAGCAAAAGGGAUUCUUGUGAGAGGUAAUUAAGGUUACAAAUUAAAUAAACUUGAGUAAUCAAAAGGGAUAUCCAAGUGAGCCCAAGCUGAUUACAUGAGACUUUUAAAAGCAGUAGAGUUUUGUCCAGUUGGAAGCAUAAGAAAUCCGAGACAUUGAAAGAAUAAGGACAUGGUGUGCCACCGAUGCAUUGAAGUUGGUGGGGCGAUGCCAGAAGGAAUAUGAGCAGCCUCUGAGAGAAGAAGCCAGCCUUUCUUUAGCAGUCAUCAAGGAAAUGAAGACCUCAGGCCUGCAUCCACAAGGAACUACAUUCUGAAAACAGCCUGGAUAAUCGUGGAAAAGGAUUCUUCCCCAGAACCUCCAGUACCAGCCAUAAACUCGUCUCAGUUUGGCUUUACAUUACUUCGUUUCCUGCAGCUGGCAUUGGCUGAGAAUAGGGAAGCCUUCAUGAAGAAAGCAGCAUGGCAUCUGGCCUUUGAAGGAUGGACAGAAUUUGGUCAUAUGAAAAUUGGUGUGAAGGGAGGGAAGAACAUUUCUUACAGAAGUGGCCCGGCCAGUUUAAAAGGCCAUGAUCUGAGCGGAAACCAUCAGACAGUCAAUCUGAGCCUAACAAGACUGGCCCCAAAACAGGUGAGUAGAUGGGCCUAA